UGCACAGUUCUCAAAAUUGAAUACCUUUAUGGUCGAGAUAAACUAGUAUAUCGUAUAUAUGUAUAUAUAUUAGGGUUCGCAGUUAUGUGCAUACAUAUCGUUUUUUUCCUUCAUUUAAUAACAGAUCUAUCACUUGAAAAUGUUUAUCUUCACAAAUAAAUCCACUUUAUCAAGUCAACCAAAGAUUUGUGAUAUCUCCCAGAUUAAUUUUGCAAAACUAUUGUAUUCAUUCUAAUACGCAAACAACAUCACCCUGACUACGAGGUUGUUGUUCGGUUAUCACCGCUGGGGAUUAGACUGAAAGCACUGACGUGGAAUCUUCAUGUUAGUAAAAGCUUGUAAGGUUGAAUAAAGCCGCAGUUGAACAACUUGAUUAAAUUGUGGAGGACAGGUUGAGAACAAUUUCCCAAUUUUUUUUACAUAUUCAAUGUAAUAAUUCUUAACGCUUGAUAAUUGAAUUUAAAAAAUGAGUCCAACAAUCGCUGUGCCUCCGCCAGUGCAGGUUCCCGUUGCCCAUGAAAAUUUGGCUCUGCGUGAUUUACAAACCCAACAAAACAGUGAUGACAACACUACUAACCAAACGAUGUAUGAAAGAGUUUUCUUUUUUCAAAAAAUAUUCCUGACAGUUUCAAUCUUCAACAUGGGCUUAACUGGAUGGAUCGGAAGAUUUCCAAUAAUCUUUCCUCUAUCUUUGGAGAAUGCCCCGGUUCGAGUGAGGAAAAUCAAUUCUUCCCCAAAAACUAUUGGAUUGUCUAUUAAGACGACGAAAAACCCGGCCUUUGUGAUUUACAGGUAUGGAGAAGACGAGAAACGCGUGGACAUAUUUUGCCCCGAGCUGAAAGAGCCAAUUGGACAAAUACUGAUAAAACAUAAGAGUAGGAAGCAAUUGGCCACCCGAUCCCGUCGCCCUGUUUGAGUGCAUCGUAUCCCGUCUCCAUUACCGUGCAUUUAAAAUGGCGUCUAUUUAGGUACUUAAAAUGCAUAUGUAUGUUGCUAUUGGUUGGUGAUGAAUUGUGGUGGUGGUGGUGGGGGGUGGCGAGGGUAAAUGUGCUGAUGGAUGUUGGUGUGUGAGGGUGGUGUCGCCGGGGGGCAGUGUGCUGCUCCCCCUGGCAGUGGGUGUGGUCAUGGUCGAACUUUAAAUUUUUUAUUGAUUCAAUAUUUUGCAUAGAGUGCUGGGAGAGUAUAAAGUUUAAUUUUUGUAAAAUAUUAUUAUCGUUGUUUAAGGUCUCUACGUAGAUUUCUAAUGAGCAUUUCGAUCUCCAUUAGUCUAAGUGAGACGGCAUCCCGUGUGUAGAUUGGCAGCCGGUCUGAUUCCGGUUCCGAUGCGGUGGAGGAACUGGAGUCUUCUGUUUCCGUUGAAAUGAUUCUGCGUUUUUUUGCAGAGGAAUCUGUGAAGAAUAGAGUAUAAUAUUGAGUUUGAAUUUUAAUAUAAUAAAAUGACUUGUAGAAUUCUUACGAGAGGCUGCAAUUUCCUCAUUUCUCUCUGCCAUCGUAGAUUUUUACAGAUUUCUUCCGGAAAUGUGGGAAUGCUUCGUAAUGUUGCGGUCAGUUCCUCUUUCAUUACUGCCGUCAGUUCUUCCGUGGGGUGCAUGAGCAUCCGCUUGAUUAAUUGAACCGACCGAAAUAGGCUUCUCCCCAACUUUUUGGGAAGAGUUUCCUACAAUAUGAAAAGUAGUGUACAAAAGUUAAACUCUAUGGAUUUCCACCCACUCACUGUUAAAGUUGCAUUUAUUGGACUUCGAAGCAGUAAUUCCACAAAGGUGGAUGGAUGUAGUGGUGCAGAUACAUUAUUUAACGUGUCGUUGAGCCCUAAAAAAAUAACUAAAGUCAACGACACGGUGCACAUGGGUAGAUUAUUAGUUGAAUUUAAUAUUAUUAGCAAUGCAUUGUACCUGUCUGGGUCAUUAAUGUAUCAUUGGUUGGUUUUUCGCUACUUUUAUAAAGUUGCAAAGCAGGUUCAGUUGUGGUGAUCAAUAUUGUUGAUGUGAAUGGAGUAGGAGUAGUGGUAACAAUAAUCAAGGGGGCGGCGGUAGUACUUGUACUCGUAUUAUUUUUUAACGCAUCGGUGAGCCCUAAAUAAUGGCACGGUGCACAUGAGUGGUUACAUAUUUAUUUGUGAAUUUAAUAUGAUACACAAUUUAUUGUAAUAUACGAGGGAAGGACCAUAAGUAAUCGGAUACGCCGUGAAGGAGCAAUAAAUUUGGGAGACUUAAUUCAUCACUUAUUAAUAUGGUCCCCUGCAAGGUUAAUACACGUGGUCCAGUUUUAUUUGAAAGAACCUAUCCUGGUUUUAAAAAUUGUUUCGUGUUGCUGGUCAAAAAACCUAGAAAAUCAAAUAAAUAGUCGAAAAUCACUUUCCCCGGGAGGUUUUUUUAAAAUGUCGAUAUUGGUAGUACUCAGUGGGGGUCUGGUCUAGACUACAAGGUGAAAUAAUUCUGUCAUCUUGUUGCUUAAAAUGGCACCCUGUUCAACUUUGGAUAUUUGAACGGGUGAAAAUGAGGUAAAUGACGCCGUUUUAGUCCCUUUCGUUUCUCCACAACAGGUUGUCGCAAACUCUUCAAAAUUUCUGCAUAAGUAGCAUCAGUUAUCGUAGUUUUAUGUGAGAGAAUAUCUAAAAUUAGAAUUUCUUCCAAGUCCCAAUAAUUUUUUGUCAUUACCUUAAAAGCUGGUUUUUUAGCGAUGAGCGUUUUUGGGGGAAUACAGUCAGUAUAUGUCCACUGCAUAUUUUUCUGCUUACCCAAAGGGUCAUAAAACUGAACCCAGGUUUUGUCCCCAACGAAUAGCUAAGCAUAUAGUAUUUGCUUCUGUUUUGAAGGUCUAAAUUUUUAUGACAAAAAUGCGCUUGAAUUUUUUUUGCUCGAUGCUCAAAUUCAUUUGAACCAAUUUUUCACUAACCUAAUUCAGGAGAAGAUAAUCAUGUGGGAUUCUGACGACACUUGUUUUAUGAAUGCCCAAUUACCGAGCUAUUUCCCAAGCUAUUACUCGACUGUUGGUGAUGACCAGGUCAUUGAUUUUCUGGAGAGUUAGGUCAUCAAUCACGAAAAUAGCUCGACCUUGUUUUUCAUCGGAUUAAAGUGAUUUUCUGCCAAUGCGAAGUUUCUUAGCCCAUUUAUGAAAUAUUUACAAUGAAGAGGUUGAAUUUGGGAAAAAUUUAAGGGUACAUUGAUGAAUAUCCGCCGGGGGGGGGGGUCCCUUGAAACGUUAAAGUCCGCAUCACAGGAAAAUACUCAAUUUUAGUGAUUUCAGUUUUUUCAUUGUAUUCCGUUACAUCCAACCACUUCCUCGACCCUGCAAUGGUCGUAUGCUAAUCAAACUUUCAGCAUAAGAUGCAUAAAAGUUUCUCUUUCAAACAACCCGAAAAGGUGGGGCAAAAAGAGACUCCUUCAAGGCGUAUCCGAUUACUUAUGGUCAGCCCUCCGUACAUACCAGCCUGAAUCAUUAAUUGCGCGCUUGAGUAAUUUCCUAUUUUUUCACGAUCUUUAGAAAAUUUCAGGGCAGGUUGAAUGGUUGUGGUGGGGGUUGGUAUGGUUGAUGUCGGAGUAAUGGUGGUGGUGAUAAUUGAGGGUGCAACAGUAGUACUUGUACUGGUACGCAAAUAUUCCAACUUUUGCGCAAAUAUAUAAUCAUCUGAAAUAAUUAAUUGUACAUACUGUGAUACCUAAAUUUUAGAAACUUUUGAGUGUUAUGAAUAAAGUAGUACCUUUCUUAAAAAAUGCACAUCGUCUCUUGGAUCUGAAGACUUACGCCAAGCCCACAAUAAUUGGCUUUCAGGUUCUAGAGCUCACAAAGUUGGCAGUGAUGCAGGGAUUCGAUCGUAUCCAAACAGCCUUUCCUGGAUGCAGGAUCAUUUCAGGCAACACUGAUUCCCUUUCAGUGCUUAUCAAGGACCCAGAGGGGACAUUUAUGUCGAAAAUGCGUCUACUCGAGGACAUUUUUGACAUGUCCGAGAUCCCCAUUUCCUCCUCAUUGUUCUCUAGAAAAAAUUCAAAUGUUCCUGGUAUGUGGAAGCCAAUAUGCUUUGGCAACAUACUAGAAUUCAUCUCCUUGGGCCCCUCGUCCUAUUCGUACCUUCCAAUAUGUGAAUCUUGCAUGGGGGAGAGACCGGCGGAAUGCCUGCAUUGUGUGGGUGUGCUAAACGGGUUACAGAAAUCCAGUGGAAUACCAAAAUCAAUUCAACAAAGAAUUACUCAUCACACCUACAAAUCUUUCCUUCGUGAACAUUUACUAUCAAGCUAUCAGCACAACCAACUAUUGGCCACUUCGACUGGAUUAACCUUGCAAAAAAUGAAGCGACGAGCAUUUGCUGGCAUCCAGCAAACAAGAUUCUAUGUAAAUGAGAACGAAAGUGUCCCCUUUGGACAUUAUUCAGUUCCAGUUGUACAAUAAUUAUAUAAAACAUGUUUGUGGUAUUCGUUGUACUUAUUGUACAUUAUAUAGCUAUAUUUGUUAUGCACUUUUUGUGCACUAGAAUUAUUUCAAUAGAACUAUGAAUACUAGUGUAUAUUUUAUUUUGCGUAAUUUAGGAAACAAAAAAAUACAAAAUUGUCAAAUAAUCACAAAAAUAUAAACAUAUAUUUAGUAGGAUAUAAUUGUAAGAUUUAAACAGAACCCAGCGUUAGAUUUAUUGAAAUUUUAAUGUAUGUAGGGUAAUCUGUGAGAGAAAAGACUUUAUGUACAUACAUAAAUAUGUGUGCAAUUCAUUUUAGUUUAAUGUACUUUUAAUGAAAUAAUUAUGUAGACUGUUUAUCUUCCGACCGACCAUUACCGUUGAAAUUUGACUGAAUAAUUUACAACUGAAAAACAGGUUCGCUCACAAAUUGCGCAGAUCAUGAUUAUGUGUUAAUUGGCAAACUCAAAUUAAUAAAUGUGGGCGAAGUGACUGAAAAUUA